AAAUAAAAGGAAGCACUGAAAAAACAAAACAGAACAAGAAGAAUGCAACAGCUUAAUGUUCUAAACUGAAGAAGAGACUCACAUAGAUUCACAAGAAGAAAACAAGUCUUGGUAUAAUUCCUAUUGGAAAGUAUAUGGUGCUCAGUUACAGCCAAGCUGGAGAAACUGGACUUGGAACUGAUAAGGAAAGAGAGGAGAAGGAGGAAAAGGAGGAUAUAUUUCACUAUCUGAUCAUAUCCAAGCUGGCAAGAACCAACGGGAAAAUGGUUUUCCAUCAAAAUUUGUUUUUUUUCUACUCUGGAAUCACUGGAUCCUGAUUAACUCUUUUCAACUCAUAGUUUAUAGAGCUGUCCCAUUACUGAUAAAAGACUAAUUCUCAGUUUCUCACUCAAACCAGAGUGACAACUGA